CUAGGAGUUUAGUCUAUGUUCUGUCCGUUUCUUUUCAUUAGUGUUUCAUAAACCGACUUGUUCAUCGCACGCGAAUUUUUAACUUUAACUUUAUGUAUAUAGACGAGCGGAUAGAGCAGCGGAUUCAUACCGGAACAAGCGCUGCCCCGCAGAAGCUCAUCGCCUUUCACCAGCUCAAUAACGUUUUAUACUACAGUACAUGUAUACAUACAAUUAUUUUGGCGCCCAACGUGGGGCCAGAAUUUCGGUGGCCUCUUCGCUUAUUUCUUAAACUCAGACCAGUACACUAUUGAACAUUUCAGUUUAUUUAAUUUCGUUGUUAAUUUCUUUCCGUAAAUGCUUGUGCACAGAUUGUGGAUCUGUUGUAAAUUUCAAUAUAAAUACACAGCCCUGUCUGAAGUCAAUUAGCAUCCCAAAGCAUGCAUUUCUUAGCGUACUGGAUAAAUAAAAGCUUAAAAACUGCCUUUGUUCCGUUGCUCAGAUACAUUUCGCAUGCUUUUACCUUGUUCGUUUCCUAUAGUUUGUAGAUAUUCGCUGGAUACGAUAAAUUGGCGCCAGGCUAUUAUCGUCCGCUUAAGUAUUUUUUCUUAGAAUCCUUUGUAUCUGGAUUAGUAAUCGGCUGUAUUACCUACCUAUUCUCGAUGAACGUUAGCAUAGACCCUCAAAACUAUAUUAUCUUCAUUUAAUUUUGACGCUUUGAAUUUUAAAAAUUUUUUUUUUGUAUAAUUAUUUACAGUUUUGUCUUUGAAAAAUAUAUAUAUAAAAUGAUUUCGAUAGGAGAGACUGAGGAGAACGCUGUAGCAAAAAAAUGUGCUGUUACCUGCUUAAUUUUGUGCCGGUCCGGUGGCCCAAGAAUCGGAUGCAUUAAGAGUUAGUUGUGGACACACUUUUCACAAUGUGAGAUACAACAAAAUUUAAUACAAAGAUUAAAAAUAAGAAAGCCCAAUCUGAAAACGAAACCUAGAGGAACCUUCCGCGGAAAAACCGACGGCAUCAGGCACCACUACUCGGGCACAAUCCAAAAGAGACACUGCUGCUUCAUCUCCUGUGUAGAUUCACCAACAAUCGAGAACUUUCAGCAAUUGAUUGCAAAUGGCUGCCGCCGCGGUCCGUCAGUCGGAGUUACUGGCACAAGCCACCGCUCGACAGACCGAUUUGAUGACCCAAGCCUUACAGACAGGGUUCGAGAGAUUCUCUCCUACUGGGUAUGUUCAAUGCUCCAGUCCAACUCCACCACCAACGUUUAGACAGCAAACUGAUCCUGGAACUCCCAGCAAUCAAAGUUCUGCUACCUUGUUUCCAUCGAAUGGUCAUGGUCUACCGCCGGAAAAUAUAAAUACUCCUAUUGGUUUGGACCUGCGCCCAGAUCGAAUUAGCCAAAUUAUUUUUAAUUGGAAACUUCGAUUUUCGGGUAAAUCUGUUUUAGGCGUCGAAGAUUUUAUCUAUCGGGCCGAAGCAUUGACAUCCCAAACGCUGCACGGCAAUUUCGAAUUGCUUCCGCGGUAUGCCAGCAACCUUUUUGAAGGAACCGCAAGCGAAUGGUUUUGGCGGUACCACAAAAGUGUACCUAUGGUACAAUGGGAGGGCCUUUGCCAAGCUCUUAAAAGUCAAUUCAAGGACGAACGAACCGAUCUGCAGAUAAGAGCGAUCAUCGAUAGACGCAGACAAAAGGAUGGAGAAAGCUUUGACGCAUUCUACUAGUCAAUCAUUUGUCUUGCGGAUAAGCUCUCUAUUCCCAUGUCGGAAUGAUCUCUCUUAGAGGCGCUUAGGUCUAAUUUGCGCCUGGAUAUCCAGCAUGAACUCCUAUAUGAGGAAAUAGCCAGCAUAUCAAAACUUCGGCAUUUUGUCAAAACUCGAGUGAUCUUCCUACAAACGUUAGGAAAUCACGCUUUACCAAAAUCUCGUCCAGUGCCGAUGCCGAGCCGAUCUGUCAAUGCAGUUUGUAACGGACACGGGAAGUGUCGUCUCGUCAGCACUCUCUGUCUACUAAAAGUUUGCCGGCUAGGCUCAGGGAAAAUGGGGUGGGUGGUGUGCUGCGAAAACGAACUCCGUCACCUAACAAAAUCGUAGACAGAUUUACGGGAACUGGGAUCGGAAUUACAAACCCGGACGGAACUUAAGGUCCACUACCUACUGUGAAGAGCAAGGUGGAUGUGCUCUUCCCUCUUGACCCACCCUCCAUGUAGAAUAACAUAAGAAUAUGCCAUUAUGGUUCUACCCAAAACCUGCCGCUGCUGCCUAUGUGCCUUAGGAACCCCUCCCAAAAAUCAGAUUAGAAAUUCAUGUUAAAUCGUUAUAAUUUUACUUUGACUUGUAUGACUUCAGGUUGUUUGUAACCCCCAUUAUUUCUACCCUAACCCUUAAAACUAUUUUUACUGCAUGUGUAUUAUAUAUGUGGGACUAAUUUAAUACAUAGGAAUUCAAGAGAAUGAUCAAAUAUGAAUAAAAAUAAUAUAAUCAAAAUAUAAAGUAAGAAUUAAUUAAUUAAAUGAAUUAAAUGGCAUAAUUGUAGUGAUUAUCGUUAAUAAUAAUCCAUUUUAUUUAUGGUUAAGCAUGCAUGUCUCACUGUGUAGACGCUAUUCUCCUGACCCGGAGUGUAUGUGUGUAUAUGUGUGUCUACUUACAGACUUUUAAACAGCUGUUGGUGUCGUUGGGCCCAAUUUCACGUUCUAACUGUUAAAGAAAUGUAGAAAUAUGCAAAAUAACAAGAAGCGUUAUGAAGAGGUAUUUUACCAAUACCCUUCCAUGGACACAAUGAGACCGAUGAUGCACCCUUUAGAAUCUAUUAUUAACUACGCAUAAAUUUCAUGUUUUUCUUCUUCUAUUCUAAGUUAAUGUCUAGGAAUAUUUAAUAUUAUUGAACAAUUUUCUUUUCUAUUUUUUUUUCUUCUAUCCAUAAUUUUUCAUUAAGUUUUCUUUUCUAGAUUUUUGUGAUUCACUUUUCUUCCCUUAAGUGGCUUUUAGAAUGUCGGCAUCGAACAAUUUUAAUAACCUGAGAGAAGGAGA
rnacentral:lncRNA from 1 species